CAGGUCCUGCCUCCUUUGGUCUCUCAUUCCUAAGACUCAGUGAGCAGGGGAAGGGAGAAGGAGAAGAGAAGGAGGAGAGCUGGGUAGUGGUGAAGGGCAGUCAGGCCCAAACCAACCUGGUCAUCACCAGGAGGAAACCCACAAGCGGGACGUUGAAUCGCCUGGGCGAUUAGUGCUCCGGAAACCACGGGGACCCACUGGAGACUUUGACUGAUGCCAUGUUCUUUUCCAUUUCUUCUCUGAUUACAUUGAUCCUGUACUUUUGCUGAUGUUGUGACAGUCUAAUUAUAGACUUCUCGGCUGCUGAGCAAACAGUCGUCCCCUCUCAGUAAAUCCGCCUGUUACACAAGCGCCAGCUCUGGGACACUGUCAGUAUACGCAGCCAACCCCCUGAUGUGCUGGGCAGCCGCGCCACAUACCCUUUACCUCCUUCAUGACACUGUUGGAGCUGGAGGUGCUGGAGGGCUAGAUGGAUCAAAGAAUGCUUAUUCAUUCAAUCAAUGCUCACAAGAGAUGGAUGUAAAGACUGGAAGGAAGAGGCACAUGUUCUGGCCAUCCAGCAUCUGAACCUCCUUCCUCUGUUUGGAGAAUUCCCUACCUUAAGAGAUUUUGGAUCGGAAGCUAGUGAUGGGACACAAAAAUUCUACCUAUCAAUGGGUGGCGGCAGUGGUGGGAAUGGCAAUUACAUCGUUUCCAGAGGCGGCAGCAGCAACGUGCAUUGCCUACAUCUGUGGUGAUGUCAUGGCAUCUUCCCUGGACCAGUUCUACAGUAUGAUUUUUAAGCCUUGUUCCUGGUAGCACAGCCAACUGGUCAAGUUCUGUAGCCAUCCUGCUGAUUCUGUGGGCUCCCCAAUAUUUUAAAAAUAAAUUCCAUCUUUCUUAAAUCAUCCAGAGUCAUUUUUUGAUUGCUUGCAACUGAAAAUCUAGACUAAUAUGUGGCCUGGAAAACAACGUUUGAGGUCCCCUGGGAGGUGAGGUAGACAUUCCUAGCAGGGAGGCAUCCUCUUCCUCUGGUAAUCUGUGUGGA